CCCAGACAGCCAGGAUGUUGGCUUAGAAGCAGCCAUCAUUUAAAGAAAGCGUAAUAGCUCACUGGUCGAGUCGGCCUGCGCGGAAGAUGUAACGGGGCUAAACCAUGCACCGAAGCUGCGGCAGCGACACUCAGGUGUUGUUGGGUAGGGGAGCGUUCUGUAAGCCUGCGAAGGUGUGUCGUGAGGCAUGCUGGAGGUAUCAGAAGUGCGAAUGCUGACAUAAGUAACGAUAAAGCGGGUGAAAAGCCCGCUCGCCGGAAGACCAAGGGUUCCUGUCCAACGUUAAUCGGGGCAGGGUGAGUCGACCCCUAAGGCGAGGCCGAAAGGCGUAGUCGAUGGGAAACGGGUUAAUAUUCCCGUACUUGGUGUUACUGCGAAGGGGGGACGGAGAAGGCUAUGUUGGCCGGGCGACGGUUGUCCCGGUUUAAGCGUGUAGGUGUGUGUUCCAGGUAAAUCCGGUUCACUUUAACACUGAGGCGUGAUGACGAGGCACUACGGUGCUGAAGCAACAAAUGCCCUGCUUCCAGGAAAAGCCUCUAAGCAUCAGGUAACAUCAAAUCGUACCCCAAACCGACACAGGUGGUCAGGUAGAGAAUACCAAGGCGCUUGAGAGAACUCGGGUGAAGGAACUAGGCAAAAUGGUGCCGUAACUUCGGGAGAAGGCACGCUGACACGUAGGUGAAGUGAUUUACUCAUGGAGCUGAAGUCAGUCGAAGAUACCAGCUGGCUGCAACUGUUUAUUAAAAACACAGCACUGUGCAAACACGAAAGUGGACGUAUACGGUGUGACGCCUGCCCGGUGCCGGAAGGUUAAUUGAUGGGGUCAGCGCAAGCGAAGCUCCUGAUCGAAGCCCCGGUAAACGGCGGCCGUAACUAUAACGGUCCUAAGGUAGCGAAAUUCCUUGUCGGGUAAGUUCCGACCUGCACGAAUGGCGUAAUGAUGGCCAGGCUGUCUCCACCCGAGACUCAGUGAAAUUGAACUCGCUGUGAAGAUGCAGUGUACCCGCGGCAAGACGGAAAGACCCCGUGAACCUUUACUAUAGCUUGACACUGAACAUUGAGCCUUGAUGUGUAGGAUAGGUGGGAGGCUUUGAAGCGUGGACGCCAGUCUGCGUGGAGCCGACCUUGAAAUACCACCCUUUAAUGUUUGAUGUUCUAACGUGGACCCGUAAUCCGGGUUGCGGACAGUGUCUGGUGGGUAGUUUGACUGGGGCGGUCUCCUCCUAAAGAGUAACGGAGGAGCACGAAGGUUGGCUAAUCCUGGUCGGACAUCAGGAGGUUAGUGCAAUGGCAUAAGC
rnacentral:rRNA from 1 species